GACGAACGCUGGCGGCGUGCUUAACACAUGCAAGUCGAACGGAAAGGCCCUGCUUUUGUUGGGUGCUCGAGUGGCGAACGGGUGAGUAACACGUGAGUAACCUGCCCUUGACUUUGGGAUAACUUCAGGAAACUGGGGCUAAUACCGGAUAGUAGCUCCUGCUGCAUGGUGGGUGUUGGAAAGUUUCGGCGGUUGGGGAUGGACUCGCGGCUUAUCAGCUUGUUGGUGGGGUAGUGGCUUACCAAGGCGUUGACGGGUAGCCGGCCUGAGAGGGUGACCGGCCACAUUGGGACUGAGAUACGACCCAGACUCAUACGGGAGGCAGCAGUGGGGAAUAUUGCACAAUGGGCGGAAGCCGGAUGCAGCAACGCCGCGUGCGGGAUGACGGCCUUCGGGUUGUAAACAGCGUGAGCCUGUGACGAAGCGUGAGUGACGGUAAUGUGUAAAGAAGCACCGGCUAACUACGUG
rnacentral:rRNA from 1 species